rnacentral:lncRNA from 10 species
UAAGCCAGGCUCAAAAAGACUAAUACUCUAUGAGUCCAUUCAUGUGAAGUCUCUAGAGUCAUCCAAUGCAUAGAGACAAUGGUGGGCACUGGGCACUGGGGGAAGGGAACAUGAGGAGUUAGUGUUUAAUGGGGACAGAAUCUCACUGAGGAUAUUAAAAAAGUUCUGGAGAUAGGUGGUGGUGAUGGUUGCAUAACAGUGUGAAUCCACUUAAUGCCACUGAACCGUGCACUUAAAAAUGGUUAAAAUGGUGAGUUUUAUAUUAUGUAUAUUUGACCAAAAUAACAGAUAGGUAGAUACAUAGAUGAUAGAUACAUCAUACAUGAUAGAUAGUUCAUAGCUGGGUGAUGAUGAUACACAAAUACAUAGAUAAAUGAUAGGUGAGACAGAUAGAUGAUAGGUGAUAGAUGAUAGAUGACAGAUGGCUAGAUGAUAGGUAGAUACAUAGAUGAUAGAUACAUCAUACAUGAUAGAUAGUUCAUAGCUGGGUGAUGAUGAUACACAAAUACAUAGAUAAAUGAUAGGUGAGACAGAUAGAUGAUAGGUGAUAGAUGAUAGAUGACAGAUGGCUAGAUGAUAGGUAGAUACAUAGAUGGUAGAUAGAUGAUAGAUAGAAAAAUAGACAGAUGAUAGGUAGAUGAUAAGUAGAUGAUAAGUAGAUAGAUAGAUAAUAGGUAGAUUAUACACAGAUGAUAGAUAGAUGGGUAGAUAGAUGCUACAUAGGUAGAUAGAUAGCCUCCAAGACAAUGGGAGAAUAAAUGUCUGUUGUUUAAGCCCUGCAGUCUAUGGUGUUCUGUUAUAGCAGCUUGAAAUGGACUAAGACACCUCAUAAGAAGAGAUGAGGACACAGACACACACAGAGAGACGACUGUAUGAGGACAAAGGGAGAACACAGAGUCUACAAGCCAAGGAGAGAGGCCUCAGGAGGAACCAGCCCUGCCCACACCUUGAUCUCAGACUUCCGACCUCCAGGAUUGUAAGGAAAUAAAUUUCUGUUGUUUAAGCCCCUCAGUCUACAGUCCUUUGUUAUGGCAGCUCUAGCAAAGGCAUAUACCUUCUCCAUCCCCUCUCCUCUGAUAAAUACCAAUAUCUCAAGAGAACUUGGAGGCAGCUGUUGAAGAGAGCUGAGCCACAAUGUUGAAAGUUAUUGGGUCCCUGAUUCAGGACUUGAAAGAGCAUCACCAGCCAACCAGAAACACACACUUUGGGCUUAACACCAGGUAUUUGUUAGAAAAAAAAAUACGGGCUGGGUGCGGUGGCUCACGCCUGUAAUCCCAGCACUUUGGGAGGCUGAGGCGGGCGGAUC